AUCCCAAUGAAGAUGAAAUGGCCUCUUGAUAGGAAGUGCCGUAUGACACUUGUAAUGCAGUUGCCUGUCCAGUCCUUGGCUCUUUCUCCUCUUGACCAUGCCUCCCUCAAAUCCUACCAUAGGUUUGAGUUUCCGGGGUGUUGUUCAAAGGGGAAUUUGAAGUUCAAUGGACUUGGAGUUCAGCUGUGUGUGUGAUUUUAAAUCGGUCACUGAGGGCU
rnacentral:snoRNA from 1 species